UACGGGGGGGGCACGCGUUGUUCGGAAUUACUGGGCGUAAAGGGCUCGUAGGCGGCCAACUAAGUCGGACGUGAAAUCCCCAGGCUCAACCUGGGAACUGCGUCCGAUACUGGAUGGCUUGAAUCCGGGAGAGGGAUGCAGAAUUCCAGGUGUAGCGGUGAAAUGCGUAGAUAUCUGGAGGAAUACCGGUGGCGAAGGCGGCAUCCUGGACCGGCAUUGACGCUGAGGAGCGAAAGCCAGGGGAGCAAACGGGAUUAGAAACCCUCGUAGUCC
rnacentral:rRNA from 1 species